rnacentral:rRNA from 1 species
GACGAACGCUGGCGGUGUGCUUAACACAUGCAAGUCGAACGGUAAGGCCCUUUCGGGGGUACACGAGUGGCGAACGGGUGAGUAACACGUGAGUAACCUGCCCUCAUCUCUGGGAUAACAGUCGGAAACGGUUGCUAAUACUGGAUAUGAGCUUGCAAGGCAUCUUGUGGGUUGGAAAGAUUUUUUUGGUUGGGGAUGGACUCGCGGCCUAUCAGCUUGUUGGUGAGGUAGUGGCUCACCAAGGCUUCGACGGGUAGCCGGCCUGAGAGGGCGACCGGCCACAUUGGGGCUGAGAUACGGCCCAAACUCCUACGGGAGGCAGCAGUGGGGAAUAUUGCACAAUGGACGGAAGUCUGAUGCAGCAACGCCGCGUGCGGGAUGACGGCCUUCGGGUUGUAAACCGCUUUCAAUUGUGACGAAGCUUUUUGUGACGGUAGCAGUAGAAGAAGCACCGGCUAACUACGUG